rnacentral:rRNA from 1 species
UACGUAGGGUGCGAGCGUUAAUCGGAAUUACUGGGCGUAAAGCGUGCGCAGGCGGUUUUGUAAGCCAGAUGUGAAAUCCCCGGGCUCAACCUGGGAAUGGCAUUUGGGACUGCAAGGCUGGAGUGCGGCAGAGGAGACUGGAAUUCCUGGUGUAGCAGUGAAAUGCGUAGAUAUCAGGAGGAAUACCGAUGGCGAAGGCAAUCCCCUGGACCUGUACUGACGCUCAUGCACGAAAGCGUGGGGAGCAAACAGG